UUAAAUGGCUGCAGUAAUUUGACUGUACAAAGGUAGCAUAAUCAUUAGUUUUUUAAUUAAAAGCUUGUAUGAAAGGUUGGACGAAGUAAAAUCUGUCUCUUUUUAAUAUUAUUAGAAUUUAAUUUUUAAGUUAAAAAGCUUAAAUUUAUAUAAAAGACGAGAAGACCCUAUAGAGUUUUAUAAUUUUUAUUUUAUAAUUAAUUUAGAUUUAUUGAUUUUAUUUUAUAUAAAUUAUUUUAUUGGGGUAAUAUAAAGAUUAAAAAAAUUCUUUUUUUUAUUGACCAUUAAUUUAUGAAAUUUUUAUGAUCCAUUAAUUUUGAUUAUAAGAUUAAAUUACCUUAGGGAUAACAGCGUAAUUUUUUUAGAGAGUUCUUAUCGAUAAAAAAGUUUGCGACCUCGAUGUUGGAUUAAAGAUUAAUUUAGGUGUAGAAGUUUAAAUUUUUGGUCUGUUCGACCAUUGAAUCUUUACAUGAUCUGAGUUCAAACCGGCGUAAGCCAGGUUGGUUUCUAUCUUUAUAAAGGAUUUAUAUUUUAGUACGAAAGGACCAAAUAUAUAAUAUAUUAAUAUUUAAUUAUUGAAUAUUAUUAAAUAUAGAUAUUAUUUUGGCAGAUUAGUGUAAUGAAUUUAGAAUUCAUAAAAGUAAAUAUUUUACAAGUAAUACUUGUUUAUAUUAGAAGUAUUAAUUUCUUUAAUUUUUAUUAUUUUAUUAGUAAUUUGUGUUUUAGUGGGAGUGG
rnacentral:rRNA from 2 species